rnacentral:lncRNA from 1 species
CAAUCACUUAAUCCUGCAUUAGUUACUAGCUCAUCAAUGAAUCUCAAUUCAAUCUCUAGGCAUACAUGUUGUAAGCCACAUCACAAGAAAUAAUAACAUAAAUGCAUAAGAAUAAUCAUAUGGGCCCAUAACGAUAUUAGCCGACAUAGGCCAAUUUACAUAACUAAUACUACCUUAAUAACAAGCCAAUGCCUUUGGCUAAAUCAUAAUAUUACAUACUCACAUUAAAACCCUAUACAUGCCAUAGACUCGAAUCACUUGAGUUUACUUACUCAGAUAACGUUAACUCGAUAGGGUGAUAAUAUCUCUG